UACGGGGGGGGGCAAGCGUUGUUCGGAAUUACUGGGCGUAAAGGGUUCGUAGGUGGCUCGCUAAGUCAGACGUGAAAUCCCUCAGCUUAACUGGGGAACUGCGUCUGAGACUGGCAAGCUCGAGUGCAGGAGAGGAACGCGGAAUUCCAGGUGUAGCGGUGAAAUGCGUAGAUAUCUGGAGGAACACCGGUGGCGGAAGGCGGC
rnacentral:rRNA from 1 species